GACGAACGCUGGCGGCGUGACUAAUACAUGCAAGUCGAACGAGUGGCGGACGGGUGAGUAACACGUGGGAACCUACCCAUCAGAGGGGGAUAACUACUGGACACGGUCGCUAAUACCGCAUACCCUCAGAUGUGCCCAGAUGGGCUUAGCUAGUAGGUGGGGUAACGGCUCACCUAGGCGACGAUCCCUAGCUGGUCUGAGAGGAUGACCAGCCACACUGAAACUGAGACAAGGGCCAGACUCCGACGGGAGGCAGCAGUGGGGAAGAUUGCACAAUGGGCGCAAGCCUGAUGCAGCCAUGCCGCGUGUGUGAAGAAGGCCUUCGGGUUGUAAAGCACUUUCAGCGGGGAGGCGUUACCCGCAGAAGAAGCACCGGCUAACUCCGUGCCAGCAGCAGCGGUAAUUC
rnacentral:rRNA from 1 species